rnacentral:rRNA from 1 species
UGAGGAAUAUUGGACAAUAGAUGGAAAUCUGAUCCAGCCAUGCCGCGUGCAGGAAGACGGCCCUAUGGGUUGUAAACUGCUUUUGUAUGGGAGCAAUAAGAUCUACGUGUAGAUUGAUGAGAGUACCAUACGAAUAAGCACCGGCUAACUCCGUGCCAGCAGCCGCGGUAAUACGGAGGGUGCAAGCGUUAUCCGGAUUUAUUGGGUUUAAAGGGUGCGUAGGCGGUUUGAUAAGUCAGCGGUGAAAUAUUUCAGCUUAACUGGAAGGUGCCGUUGAUACUGUCGAGCUUGAAUUAGUUGCUGUGGUGGAAUGUGUGGUGUAGCGGUGAAAUGCAUAGAUAUCACACAGAAUAUCGAUUGCGAAGGCAGCUCACAAAGCUAAUAUUGACGCUGAUGCACG